GGCUCAGGAUGAACGCUGGCGGCGUGCCUAAUACAUGCAAGUCGAACGCACAGCGAAAGGUGCUUGCACCUUUCAAGUGAGUGGCGAACGGGUGAGUAACACGUGGACAACCUGCCUCAAGGCUGGGGAUAACAUUUGGAAACAGAUGCUAAUACCGAAUAAAACUUAGUGUCGCAUGACAAAAAGUUAAAAGGCGCUUCGGCGUCACCUAGAGAUGGAUCCGCGGUGCAUUAGUUAGUUGGUGGGGUAAAGGCCUACCAAGACAAUGAUGCAUAGCCGAGUUGAGAGACUGAUCGGCCACAUUGGGACUGAGACACGGCCCAAACUCCUACGGGAGGCUGCAGUAGGGAAUCUUCCACAAUGGGCGAAAGCCUGAUGGAGCAACGCCGCGUGUGUGAUGAAGGCUUUCGGGUCGUAAAGCACUGUUGUAUGGGAAGAACAGCUAGAAUAGGAAAUGAUUUUAGUUUGACGGUACCAUACCAGAAAGGGACGGCUAAAUACGUGCCAGCAGCCGCGGUAAUACGUAUGUCCCGAGCGUUAUCCGGAUUUAUUGGGCGUAAAGCGAGCGCAGACGGUUUAUUAAGUCUGAUGUGAAAGCCCGGAGCUCAACUCCGGAAUGGCAUUGGAAACUGGUUAACUUGAGUGCAGUAGAGGUAAGUGGAACUCCAUGUGUAGCGGUGGAAUGCGUAGAUAUAUGGAAGAACACCAGUGGCGAAGGCGGCUUACUGG
rnacentral:rRNA from 1 species